rnacentral:rRNA from 1 species
UACAGAGGGUGCGAGCGUUGUUCGGAAUUAUUGGGCGUAAAGCGCGUGUAGGCGGCUUUGCAAGUCGGGUGUGAAAGCCCUCAGCUCAACUGAGGAAGUGCGCCCGAAACUGCAGAGCUUGAGUACCGGAGAGGAUGGCGGAAUUCCCCAAGUAGAGGUGAAAUUCGUAGAUAUGGGGAGGAACACCGGUGGCGAAGGCGGCCAUCUGGACGGAUACUGACGCUGAGACGCGAAAGCGUGGGGAGCGAACAGG